rnacentral:lncRNA from 1 species
CGAAAGUAAGAAAUAGAUCUAAAGUAAAUGUAUUACUAAUAAAGGAAAGAUUCAGUGAUGACCUCUGGGAUGAAGUUCCUUGUAGUCGGCGGGAUCGCCGGUGCAGCUGCGGAGGAUGAGGCCGCCAUUGGGAUCUCGGAAGAAGCUUCGACUUUCGCUAAUGGAGCUCCUUCUUCCGACGACGGGGCCACCACUGUCGCUGUCUCCGCCGAAGACGCUAUUUCUUGAGCUUCGCACGCGGGUGAGGUGCCUGAAGGUGCCGCCAUUGGAGGGGGAGGAAGGAAAGUGACAGGAAGACGGUGCCGGAAAGCUGUGGAACUAAGGAAAAAUGCUGGAGGAAGAAGAAGGCUCGUGCGCUGGGGAAGAAGGACGUGAUCUCGAAAGGGAAGUGCGGGAUGUGCUGAUAUUUAAAGGGGGCCUGAGGAAGGGUAAAAAUGGAAUUUUUACCGCACCGGCGUUUCGAGUUUUUCGGGGGUAGUGGUUGUCGUGGGCGCCCAUUUCGAAAAGAUUGCAAUCAUCAGGUUGAAGACCGCGAAACGGAAGGAUAUUUUCAUUGCGGUUGUUUCAGAAGGGAAGUUGAAAAGAAUUUCGAAGUAAAGACUAUGUUUUACUCCGAAACUGGGGGGCAUGUGUUGACGCCAGAUUUUGACACGAGUAAAAUUGGCGUCAGGAGAGGAAGAAAUUGGAAGAUACAACAAGAUACAGGGGUGACAAUUGGAAAUCGGCCGAAUGGCGCUA